rnacentral:rRNA from 1 species
GACGAACGCUGGCGGCGUGCUUAACACAUGCCAGUCGAACGGAAAGGCCCUGCUUUUGUGCGGUUGUCGAUUGGCGAAGGGGUGAGUAACACGUGAGUAACCUGCCCUUGACUUUCGGAUAACUUCAGGAAACUUCGGCUAAUACCGGAUAGGAUCUCUUGCUGCAUGUUGGGCGUUGGUAAGUUUCGGCGGUUGGGGAUGGACUCGCUGCUUAUCGGCUGGAUGGUGUGGUAGUGGCUGACCAAGGCUUUGACGGGUAGCCGGCCUGAGAGGGGAGCCGGCCACAUUAGGACUGAGAUACGGAGCAGACUCGAACGGGAGGCAACGGUGGAGAGUACUACAGAAUAGGAGGGAGCCAGAUGUAGACACGCUGCGUGCGGGAUGACGUGAUUCGGGUUGUGAACCAAUGUGGCCGUUGACGAAGCGUGAGUGACGGUAAUGGGUCAAGAAGCACCGGCUAACUACGUG